rnacentral:rRNA from 1 species
GCAAGUCGAGCGGUAACAGGAAUUAGCUUGCUAAUUCGCUGACGAGCGGCGCACGGGUGAGUAACGCGUAUGUAAUCUGCCUUGUACAGAGGGAUAGCCCAGAGAAAUUUGGAUUAAUACCUCAUAGUAUUACCGAAUCGCAUGAUUUGGUAAUUAAAGCUCCGGCGGUACAAGAUGAACAUGCGUGACAUUAGCUAGUUGGUAAGGUAACGGCUUACCAAGGCCACGAUGUCUAGGGGUUCUUAGAGGAUGAUC